GAGUUUGAUCCUGGCUCAGAUUGAACGCUGGCGGCAUGCCUUACACAUGCAAGUCGAACGGCAGCACGGGUGCUUGCACCUGGUGGCGAGUGGCGAACGGGUGAGUAAUACAUCGGAACAUGUCCUGUAGUGGGGGAUAGCCCGGCGAAAGCCGGAUUAAUACCGCAUACGAUCUGAGGAUGAAAGCGGGGGACCUUCGGGCCUCGCGCUAUAGGGUUGGCCGAUGGCUGAUUAGCUAGUUGGUGGGGUAAAGGCCUACCAAGGCGACGAUCAGUAGCUGGUCUGAGAGGACGACCAGCCACACUGGGACUGAGACACGGCCCAGACUCCUACGGGAGGCAGCAGUGGGGAAUUUUGGACAAUGGGCGAAAGCCUGAUCCAGCAAUGCCGCGUGUGUGAAGAAGGCCUUCGGGUUGUAAAGCACUUUUGUCCGGAAAGAAAUCCUUGGUUCUAAUAUAGCCGGGGGAUGACGGUACCGGAAGAAUAAGCACCGGCUAACUACGUGCCAGCAGCCGCGGUAAUACGUAGGGUGCAAGCGUUAAUCGGAAUUACUGGGCGUAAAGCGUGCGCAGGCGGUUUGCUAAGACCGAUGUGAAAUCCCCGGGCUCAACCUGGGAACUGCAUUGGUGACUGGCAGGCUAGAGUAUGGCAGAGGGGGUAGAAUUUCCACGUGUAGCAGUGAAA
rnacentral:rRNA from 1 species